GACAGAGGAUGCAAGCGUUAUCCGGAAUGAUUGGGCGUAAAGCGUCUGUAGGUGGCUUUUUAAGUCCGCCGUCAAAUCCCAGGGCUCAACCCUGGACAGGCGGUGGAAACUACCAAGCUGGAGUACGGUAGGGGCAGAGGGAAUUUCCGGUGGAGCGGUGAAAUGCGUAGAGAUCGGAAAGAACACCAAUGGCGAAGGCAGCUCGCUGGGACGGUACUGACGCUGAGACGCGAAAGCGUGGGGAGCGAACAGG
rnacentral:rRNA from 1 species